AGCAUAUCAAUAAGCGGAGGAAAAGAAACCAACAGGGAUUGCCCCAGUAACGGCGAGUGAAGCGGCAACAGCUCAAAUUUGAAAUCUGGCUUCGGCCCGAGUUGUAAUUUGCAGAGGAAGCUUUAGGCGCGGCACCAACUGAGUCCCCUGGAACGGGGCGCCAUAGAGGGUGAGAGCCCCGUAUAGUUGGACGCCUAGCCUGUGUAAAGCUCCUUCGACGAGUCGAGUAGUUUGGGAAUGCUGCUCAAAAUGGGAGGUAAAUUUCUUCUAAAGCUAAAUACCGGCCAGAGACCGAUAGCGCACAAGUAGAGUGAUCGAAAGAUGAAAAGCACUUUGAAAAGAGGGUUAAAUAGCACGUGAAAUUGUUGAAAGGGAAGCGCUUGUGACCAGACUUGCGCCGGGCCGAUCAUCCGGUGUUCUCACCGGUGCACUCGGCCCGGCUCAGGCCAGCAUCGGUUCUCGUGGGGGGAUAAAGGUUCCGGGAACGUAGCUCCUCCGGGAGUGUUAUAGCCCGGGGCGUAAUGCCCUCGCGGGGACCGAGGUUCGCGCAUCUGCAAGGAUGCUGGCGUAAUGGUCAUCAGCGACCCGUCUUGAAACACGGACCAAGGAGUCAAGGUUUUGCGCGAGUGUUUGGGUGUAAAACCCGCACGCGUAAUGAAAGUGAACGUAGGUGAGAGCUUCGGCGCAUCAUCGACCGAUCCUGAUGUCUUCGGAUGGAUUUGAGUAAGAGCGUUAAGCCUUGGACCCGAAAGAUGGUGAACUAUGCUUGGAUAGGGUGAAGCCAGAGGAAACUCUGGUGGAGGCUCGCAGCGGUUCUGACGUGCAAAUCGAUCGUCAAAUCUGAGCAUGGGGGCGAAAGACUAAUCGAACCAUCUAGUAGCUGG
rnacentral:rRNA from 1 species